GUGCUUGUUAAGGCAGCAAGUGUACUAAAAUUGGAACACUACAGAGAAGAUUAGCAUGGCCCGGUACAAGGAUGACACACAAAUUCAUGAAGCGUUCCAUAUUAAA
rnacentral:snRNA from 1 species